GAGUGAAAUUGAAGUCGCGUGUUUGCAUUAGUUUUUUGAAUUGCUGUUGGGGCUGGGGCUGCGUGAUCGUCACUGGCGUCCUCCAGAGUGCCCACCGAUCGGAAAGUCGUACGUACCGCAAGCUUUGAACGUCUCUUUAUCGCACCAUCGAAAGCGGCGGCACAGAAAGCGCGAUGCGAGCUCCGGUGGGAACAGCAGCCCUUUGUCUCGUAACGCCCGCAACUGAGGGACGUAGUAGGAAGUGGAGCUGACGUUGCUAUCUCUACAAUAGCCGGAGAAGACGAAACAAUUUUUGCAAUGCACACGGACUGGCUCAGUUGUGAAUGUCACAAACGCUCCCCUAACGAGGAUCAAAUCAAUGAACGGCUAGCCUUGAUAAAUAAUAUUCUUGAGGCGAAGAGGAUGUACCCAUACAUGAUGAGCUUU